CGUUAGCGUUGCCACACCCGUCGCGAGGCGGGGUCGGAAAGUUAUGGGUCUCAAGGGUUUGAGAUAGCCGAACCGCGCAC
rnacentral:ncRNA from 1 species